CCUACGGGUGGCAGCAGUGGGGGAUAUUGCACAAUGGGGGGAACCCUGAUGCAGCGACGCCGCGUGGGUGAAGAAGCGCCUCGGCGCGUAAAGCCCUGUCAGCAGGGAAGAAAAUGACGGUACCUGAAGAAGAAGCCCCGGCUAACUACGUGCCAGCAGCCGCCGUAAUACGUAGGGGGCAAGGGUUAUCCGGAUUUAAUGGGUGUAAAGGGGGCGCAGACGGCGAUGCAAGCCAGGAGUGAAAGCCACGGGCCGAACCCCGGGACGGCUCUUGGAACGGCGUGGCUGGAGUGCAGGAGAGGCAGGCGGAACUCCUGGGGUAGCGGUGAAAUGCGUAGAUAUCAGGAGGAACACCGGUGGCGAAGGCGGCCUGCUGGCCUGCAACUGACGUUGAGGCCCGAAAGCGUGGGGAGCAAACAGGAUUAGAUACCACUGUAGUC
rnacentral:rRNA from 1 species